rnacentral:rRNA from 1 species
UCAGGUGACUAUAGCAUCAGGGUUCCACCUCUUCCCAUUCCGAACAGAGAAGUUAAGCCUGAUCACGCCGAUGGUACUGCGUAACAGUGGGAGAGUAGGCAGUCGCCGCCG